ensembl:rRNA 5S_rRNA 5S ribosomal RNA
AUCUAUGGCCAUACCACCCUGAAAGUGCUUGAUGUCUUCUGGUCUCAGAAGCUAAACAGGGUCAGACCUGGUUAGUACUUGGGUGGGAGAAUUCCAAUAAGCCAAUGUUC